CAAAAAAAAAAAAAAAAUCUCUGAACAACCUAAACCCAACUUAGAAAAGUCAUCAAGAGGAAAGGAUUUUUUAAAAAUGACUAAAAAAAGCCAGAAUGGAGUGUAACAAUCAGGGUAUUCCCCUACCCUAACACCAAUCCCAGUGGGAAAACAUCUUCUACCCUAGAUUAGACCACUGACAAAACACAUGAGCCUCCAUCAGGGACUGGCUUUAACAUUCAAAACAAUUCCCAUGGAAGCAUCUGAAUCUAACAGGCUAAGGGAGAAGUUGUUGAGUAGAAAAUACGGGGAGGGAAGGGAUAACAAAACAUUCCCAUUGUUGGUUUUCAUUAGAUUUCUAAAUGUCAUCAGUCUGUGGGUAAAAUUUAACAUAGACAGUGGCAUGAAUAUUGCUACAAGUUAUUUAUAGGCUUUGGCUCUUGUAUUAAAAUUUUCCCCUUUUAAAAUGUGAAUCUGAACCUUGAUUUCGGUGCUGCUGUGGGGUUAAAAAAAAUGCUCUGGGAAAAAGCACAGAGGGAAAAAAGGCACAUGAUCAUUCCUGUUCGCAGACUUCACAUCCCGCAGGACCCCAGCGGGUACGACAUGCAACGGUCUACUGCUUUUAUUAGGGUAAAGAUCUCACGUAAGUCUGCAACGCGUUUGUUUUCUACCUGUAAACGUCACCUGAGAAAUGAGAGAUUGUUUUUCCAAAACUAAAAGAGACAGAAAUCUCUGAUCUAAAAAACUAUCCUUUCAUCCAGAUUAACAUUCCCGCAUCUACAGGUGUAUUCAGCACUGACUAGAGCUGUCUACAAGAGAAAUACAACAGGUGUGGAUUUCCAUUCUGUUGACCAAACAGAAGAGGGAAGUGAGGCCUGAGACGGAAAAAACUUUCUCAAGUUCAAAAGGGGCUGCUGGGACUAGAACCCGAUGGCUUGCCUUGUCCCACUACCCCACCAGAGAAGUGAAGUCUCAAGCAGCCCAGCACUGCAUCCCAAUGUCACUUCAGGGCCCCUGCUUUGGCAGAGGUAUAAAAACUGCGGGGAAAUUCUAGAAGACAUAAAGGGAAGGGAGGCGAGCACAGAGCCAACACAGGGGUCUAAAGAAAACACUUCACAUCCAGCCCCUCCCAUUAAGUAUAUUAUCAUGCACUGAUACUGCUUCUUCCCUUCCUCUCCUGACCUGCACCCAGAGACCUUCCCCCACCCUCCAACACCAGGCUUUAAAACCUUAUAACGCUAUAGAAGUACCCACACUCAGAAUAAAGGAUCUGAGAAAGAAAAGGAAAAAAAAAACAAAUCAUUUUGAAAGCCAGGGCCUUAUCAGCCUUAGAUUUCAGGCCAUCUGGAGCCACCCACUGGAUGCCCAGCUUGGCCCCAGGAGCGCCUCCUUCCCUUCUCAAACCCCGUUUCAAAUCCGCAGUGCCCCAAGAGGAACCUGUUGCCUGGACCUGGGAUGAGCGCCCCCCUCCUCCUGCCCCUCCCCCAGGGCCGGGAAGCAGGCUGUGCCUCUGAAAGCCAGUUCCCACAGCCCCAGUUGGUAACAUGUGAUGUACUACUCUGCUGACAAAGAAAAGUUGCCUUUG